rnacentral:rRNA from 1 species
UGACUGGGGCGGUCUCCUCCCAAAGCGUAACGGAGGAGCACGAAGGUUAGCUAAUCCUGGUCGGACAUCAGGAGGUUAGUGCAAUGGCAUAAGCUAGCUUGACUGCGAGCGUGACGGCGCGAGCAGGUGCGAAAGCAGGUCAUAGUGAUCCGGUGGUUCUGAAUGGAAGGGCCAUCGCUCAACGGAUAAAAGGUACUCCGGGGAUAACAGGCUGAUACCGCCCAAGAGUUCAUAUCGACGGCGGUGUUUGGCACCUCGAUGUCGGCUCAUCACAUCCUGGGGCUGAAGUAGGUCCCAAGGGUAUGGCUGUUCGCCAUUUAAAGUGGUACGCGAGCUGGGUUUAGAACGUCGUGAGACAGUUCGGUCCCUAUCUGCCGUGGGCGCUGGAGAAUUGAGGGGGGCUGCUCCUAGUACGAGAGGACCGGAGUGGACGCAUCACUGGUGUUCGGGUUGUCAUGCCAAUGGCACUGCCCGGUAGCUAAAUGCGGAAGAGAUAAGUGCUGAAAGCAUCUAAGCACGAAACUUGCCCCGAGAUGAGUUCUCCCUGAGACUUUAAGUCUCCUGAAGGAACGUUGAAGACGACGACGUUGAUAGGCCGGGUGUGUAAGCGCAGCGAUGCGUUGAGCUAACCGGUACUAAUGAACCGUGAGGCUUAACCUU